rfam:Tilletiaria anomala TBC 951 K437scaffold_94, whole genome shotgun sequence.
CACUCUUCUGGCCAUAUGGCUUAGAUCAAGUGUAGUAUCUGUUCUUAACAGUUUGACAACUGUUACUCUGGACACUGUCCAGAUUACUUGUCAUACAACUCUUUCCGCUCUUUGGCUCCCUCUUGUCCUUGCUUGCAAGGCGGGGAUGUCGCGAGUGCCGCUUCCACUACACUCUCGGUCGCAGGCGCUCAUUCCUC